rnacentral:rRNA from 1 species
CACGGGGGGAGCAAGCGUUGUUCGGAAUCACUGGGCGUAAAGGGCGUGUAGGCGGUCAGGUAAGUGGGACGUGAAAUGCCUCGGCUCACCCGAGGAGCGGCGUCCCAUACUGCUUGGCUUGAGUACGGGAGAGGACGUGGGAAUUCCUGGUGUAGCGGUGAAAUGCGUAGAUAUCAGGAGGAACACCGGUGGCGAAGGCGCACAUCUGGCCCGAUACUGACGCUGAGGCGCGAAAGCUAGGGGAGCAAACAGG